rnacentral:rRNA from 1 species
GACGAACGCUGGCGGCGUGCUUAACACAUGCAAGUCGAACGGAAAGGCCCUGCUUUUGUGGGGUGCUCGAGUGGCGAACGGGUGAGUAACACGUGAGUAACCUGCCCUUGACUUUCGGAUAACUUCAGGAAACUGGGGCUCAUACCGGAUAGGAGCUCCUGCUGCAUGGUGGGGGUUGGAAAGUUUCGGCGGUUGGGGAUGGACUCGCGGCUUCUCCGCUUGUUGGUGGGGUAGUGGCUUACCAAGGCUUUGACGGGUAGCCGGCCUGAGAGGUUGACCGGCCACAUUGGGACUGAGAUACGGCCCAGACUCCUACGGGAGGCAGCAGUGGGGAAUAUUGCACAAUGGGCGGAAGCCUGAUGCAGCAACGCCGCGUGCGGGAUGACGGCCUUCGGGUUGUAAACCGCUUUCGCCUGUGACGAAGCGUGAGUGACGGUAAUGGGUAAAGAAGCACCGGCUAACUACGUG